rnacentral:tRNA from 1 species
GGGCGGGUAGCUCAGUUGGUUAGAGCACAUCGCUUACACCGAUGGGGUCGCAGGUUCGAGUCCUGUCCCGCCCACAA